rnacentral:tRNA from 1 species
CACUAGGAAGCUAAAUAGGGCCUAGCGUCAGCCUUUUAAGCUGAAGAUUGGUGGCCCCCAACCACCUCUAGUGA